GACGUAGGGCGCGAGCGUUGUCCGGAAUUAUUGGGCGUAAAGAGCUCGUAGGCGGCUUGUCGCGUCGACUGUGAAAACCUGCAGCUCAACUGUGGGCUUGCAGUCGAUACGGGCAGGCUAGAGUUCGGUAGGGGAGACUGGAAUUCCUGGUGUAGCGGUGAAAUGCGCAGAUAUCAGGAGGAACACCAAUGGCGAAGGCAGCACUCUGGGCCGGUACUGACGCUGAGGAGCGAAAGCGUGGGGAGCAAACAGG
rnacentral:rRNA from 1 species